UACAGGGGGGGCCAGCGUUAUUCGGAAUUAUUGGGCGUAAAGGGCGCGUAGGCGGCCAUGCGUGUCUUCCGUGAAAUCCCUCGGCUUAACCGAGGACGUGCGGAAGAAACUGCAAGGCUCGAGUCCGGAAGAGGGGGGCGGAAUUCCCAGUGUAGCGGUGAAAUGCGUAGAUAUUGGGAGGAACACCAGUGGCGAAGGCGGUCCCCUGGGCCGGAACUGACGCUGAGGCGCGAAAGCGUGGGGAUCAAACAGG
rnacentral:rRNA from 1 species